rnacentral:rRNA from 1 species
GACGAACGCUGGCGGCGUGCUUAACACAUGCAAGUCGAACGGAAAGGCCCUGCUUUUGUGGGGUGCUCGAGUGGCGAACGGGUGAGUAACACGUGAGUAACCUGCCCUUGACUUUGGGAUAGCUUCAGGAAACUGGGGCUAAUACCGGAUAGGAGCUCCUGCUGCAUGGUGGGGGUUGGAAAGUUUCGGCGGUUGGGGAUGGACUCGCGGCUUAUCAGCUUGUUGGUGGGGUAGUGGCUUACCAAGGCUUUGACGGGUAGCCGGCCUGAGAGGGUGACCGGCCACAUUGGGACUGAGAGACGGCACAGACUCCUACGGGAGGCAGAAGUAGAGAAUAUUGCACAAUGGGCGGAAGCCUGAUGCAGCAACGCCGCGUGCGGGAUGACGGACUUCGGGUUGUAAACCGAUUUCGCCUGUGACGAAGCGUGAGUGACGGUAAUGGGUAAAGAAGAACAGGCUAAAUACGUG